UCCAUCUGUUUUUUUUCCAGGAGAUGGCAGAGCAAGAGAGGCUACUUUGUAAGCCAGUGAGUGGGCGCAGGGUGGGUGUACAACACUGUAUCAGCUGCCAGAGGAGGGUAAAAAAAAAAAAAAAAGGUGUUAUUGCUGUGUUUUCUUCUUCUGUUAUUAUCCAAUCGGGUCGGACACCAGCAGAAGAGUGUGUGGCCUCGGAGGUUGUUGUUGCAAGUUGAUCCAUUUUAUUCGACAGCAAAGUCGCUCACAGUGCAUACAUGGCUCCGGGGGUCGUGUGUGUGUGUGUGUGUGUGUGUGUGUGUGUGUGUGUGUGUACAGACGCAGGCCUUCCCCGCUUAUGUUUUGCAUUAUAUUCGGACUGCAUUUCAGUUCAAGACUAAACGCCAACACUGCUGUGAAAUGGAUCAUUCACAGCAGCAGUGAAUCCAUUUCAUAGCAGCAGCAGCUGCUCCAUACAAGCAUCAGGCUUUUUCUUCACCUUCACCUUUAAAUGGUGUGUGUGUGUGUUAUCCCGUGAGGUUAUUGGUACACUGAUCGGAUCUACAGACUCAGGCCCCUGUCAGUGUCCUCAGUCUGUUAUCAGCAGAGGCUCCAAAAGGCCCUCAGUGAUGAGUGUGAGUGUAUGAACCAUGCAGAGUGUUGAGGGAGCCUGGCCAUGUCUCAAUAUGUGGCCCACUUUCAUCAUAAUAACACUUAAAUGGUAAGAUUUGUGCUGAGACAUUAGUAGUGGUCGGUUGACAGACUAAAUAUUGUGAUUUUGAUAAUUCGGCAUUAGGCUUAUAAAACCAAACAAAGAUUUGAAAAUAUGAGCAGCAGAUUCUUAAAUAAAGAGACAGUACUUUCAGUCUUUUUCAGGAUUUUUGAUAUUGGUUUGGCAUCAGACAUGUUGAGUAUACAGUCAGUGUUGUUGUUUUUUAAAAAUAUUUUUCUCCCUGCUAUACCAUUCACUGUGUUAAUUGGCACUCAGAUUAAAACAGCUAAUGGCUCCCAAUUCAUCCCUUUAAGGUGCACGGGGAGACUAAUUUGAUUUUAAUUAGCCUUUCCAGAGGUGGGUGUUUGCAGCUGUCAAAAGUGUCCCAGUAUGUCACAAUGACACUUGUCAACACUGGCAGUGUCACAAGUCACGGAGGGAACCGUACCCUUUUAAACCCACACACACACAUCCGAGACUGAAAUCAGCUCCCGUGGAUUAGAGGUCAGCUGCCUUUUUUUAUCCGAGAGUCCCCCCCCCCCCGGUCACUUUCAUCCUACAUGGCAUCAAAGUCUUUGCAUGGAGCAGGCGGGUUGCACACAGGCAGUCUACCAGCUACAUGAGCUACUGCAACUGAGUCAGCAAAAAAAUUUGCCCUGCUGAUGUGUCCUUGAGCAAGACAUGGAAUCAGUUGUUGUGUAACUGUCUGACCUCGCCGUGGAGACGGGAAAUGACAAGCAAUUUCCCACAUUGCUAUUAAGUGUCCAUGGUACAUAAACAAUGAUAGGUUUUGGGGCGGCGUUGCGAAGGCUCAGUCCUUGCCGCGGCAGCCUAGGGUUCGAAUCCGAACUGUGGCUCUUUCCUGCAUGUCAUUCCUCAUCUCUCUCUUUCCCCACGUUCCUGUCACUCUACAGCUGUCUCUAUCAAAAUAAAAGCUUGAAAAGGCCCAAAAAAGAAUCUUAAAAAACAAUUAUAGUUUGUUUGCCCCAUAUGGAGCACUCUCCAUCCCAGAAUUGACUCUUUAUUAUAAAUAAGAUCCCCACCCUUGUCUGUUAGUGCCGGGAAAACGUUGCGAGCGUGGUCAUGAGAUGCUCGUGAUGUUUAACUUUUUCACACCUGUUGAUGUGAAACUGGGUGGCCAGCAGUGAGAAGUGUUAUGACAGGGUGUGUCCAGUCUGCCACAGUUGAAAUGACACGUCAAGGGAAGUGGUUUGGUGCUUGUAGAGAUGACACUGCAGCCGCCGCCGCUGCCGCCACUCCCCACCCCUGCGCCUGUGAAACUUAUAUAUACAUUCAGCACAAAGCGGGGGGAAGCAAAUACAGUGCAUUUACAGUAUUUAGAGUUCAGACUGCGAGAGGUGACAGUUACAUGAGGUGACAGUCUUCUACAGAGGAAGUUAUUGUUACAGCUCCCCUGAGAAUAUAUUAGAAGAUUUUGAGUUUGUGAGAAUACCAAGAGGAUCACUUUUGGCAUAGAUGCAGCCCACAGUUUAUGUGCGUGUAAAAGCUCAGCCAAGCGUGAGAGAGUUAUUUUCAACACAGCAGUAUGAUUCCACAUGGUCUCUCUAGACUAUAACAUCAGGAGUAUCUCAUCAGUGAUUGUAUUGACAGUCUAAACCCCUUUCACAUUAAGCAGUACCCAUAUUCAAUAUUUACCUAUAAAUUGUGGAAUCCUGACUGAUGCAUUCGGAGGGCCUGUGUUGGCAGCUUAUAUUGUUUUUAAUCACAGGCCAUGCAUAUAUUGGCUGAUAUUCACAGAAAACUUGUAGUACAUAAUACAGUUAAAAGCACUUGAGAUCAUUUAGAGACAGUGUUAUCAUAGUUUGUCCCGCAGACUCCACUGUUUACAGUACUUUUGCAGCACCUGAGUUGGCAGAGCACCAUAUCAUAGCAGAGCAGAUGGUGGUGUGGAGAUCUGUUGAUGAAAAAUGACGUUUACUCUUCAGCUGUAAAAUCUCCUGCCUCCCAUUACAUGUAUUUGUCAGAGCUCUUCAUUAACCAACUUGUGUGUCCGUUUGAUCAAUCGCAUGGAAAGGUGGUUUAUAUAAAACGGCAAACAAUUGUUGAUACAAACUGAUAUGUUUCUUGUAUCUGAAUAUACAGCCUCUGUAUUAGGGAGCAAGCUGUGCUGUGUGGCCCAGAGAGAAUUAAUAUGGGACAUAUUUACCUCCAGAAAAGUCAAAACAUCCAUUCAUCAUUCCUUUUUCUUUAACCGUUUGUCCUUACCAGGGUCACAGGAGCUGGAGCCAAUCCCUGCUGGCAUUGGGCAAGAAGAAGGACUAACCGCAACCCCAUGAUACAUGCUGAAACAAUCAAAACAUUGCUGAAGUUAAUAUUACUUAUUAUUUUAUGAAACGGUCUAAAGAAACAGGUCUCUGAAACGUUUUUUUUCUCUCUCAUUGGACUUUGGAGUUGUUGAACGAUCUGGGUGUUGUAGUUUUUUUUUAGGGUACAACUCUAGCACAAUUCUUCAAGGUCAGCCGGUCACUCCGAUUAAUGACAUCUGUACGUUUUUCUGUUUUUUUUACUUCAUGUAGAGAUGGACUACGUUUCCCAGAAUGCCCUAUGAAUGCUGAUGUUUACUCGUUGCAUUCGGCUGUGAGUUAUAAAUAUAGUAGGUGCAGAGAGCAGUGGUGGGUGCAUGGUCGGAGCAUGACUGAAAGCGCUUUUGCAGUUGAGGAACGUUAGUCGCUUUAGUCGAGACGCAGUGGUAUAUUCCGUUAUAUAGAGGUUAAUUCAUGUGGUUUUUGCUUUGAGUCUGUAAAAUGUCAAAGCCAAGGUGAUGUCACCGGAACCUGACAACUGUGCACACGUUUCCGCAGCUUCAAAAGUUCUGCAAAAUUGCAUGCAUUUCUGAAAAAGCAGCGUGCAUCAUAGAAAAGUUAGAUCACUGCCAAAAAAAAAA